GAGCCCAGGUGGUCUAAUGGUUAGGGCGCUCGUAAGUACCUCCAGACCUUCAUCGGGGUGAGCUAACAUUUGGGUUGGCAAUAACUUUGAAAGGAGGGUGGAGACUCGGGAGAUCUGGGUUCGAAUCCCAGCCUGGGCAC
rnacentral:tRNA from 1 species